rnacentral:rRNA from 1 species
UACGGGGGGGGCAAGCGUUGUUCGGAAUUACUGGGCGUAAAGGGCUCGUAGGUGGCCAACUAAGUCGGACGUGAAAUCCCUCAGCUUAACUGGGGAACUGCGUCCGAUACUGGAUGGCUUGAGUUUGGGAGAGGGAUGCGGAAUUCCAGGUGUAGCGGUGAAAUGCGUAGAUAUCUGGAGGAACACCGGUGGCGAAGGCGGGUCUCUGGGCAACUCCUGACGCUGAGGCGCGAAAGCGUGGGGAGCAAACGGG